rnacentral:rRNA from 1 species
AACGUAGGACGCAAGCGUUAUCCGGAGUUACUGGGCGUAAAGCGCGGGCAGGCGGUCUUGCCAGCCUGAUGUGAAAUCUCCUCGCUCAACGGGGAGCAGCCAUUGGAAACUACAAGACUGGAGUCUGGCAGAGGUAGGCGGAAUUCCGGGUGGAGUGGUGAAAUGCGUAGAGAUCCGGAGGAACACCAGAGGCGAAGGCGGCCUACUGGGCCAGUACUGACGCUGAGCCGCGAAAGCCAGGGGAGCGAACGGG